CUGCCCCCGCCGCUACAGAGCGCUACCGUCCUCAGAUCGCAUCUCGUCCUCUUCUCUCCGGUCUCGUCUCUCUCCACCCCUCCGCUCUCUCAGAUCGCAUCCUCGAGCGUGGAGGACCAUGGCCACCGUCACCACCUGGCCUUAUCUCCACCUCCGGUCACAACGCCGUUGCCACCGCCUCGUCCUCCCCGACCGCCGUAUACCUCGUCCGUUCAGGCACCUCCACAUGCGACUCUCUCCCUCUCUCCUUCUCUUUCUGCUCUGACGGGCAACUCCAUUCGCGUCGCUAGGAUGAACUCCUCCAUGCGAGGUGCUCCAAAUUGGGCGUGGGCGGCCAGAUCUACGGCAGCACGGUUGAGGAAGGCCAAAUCUACGGCAGUUUGGUAGAGGGCGGCGGGAUCCAUGGCGCCGGCCUCCUGCUCCGAUUCUGCUGACUAGGGUUAUUGCCACCGCGGAUCUCGCUGUCCUCAUCAUGGAAGCCUCGCCCAUGGGCUCCUCCACCGCCGCCGGAGAGGCCCCGACCAUCUGAUGUUGUGAUCCGAGACCGGGAAGUGGGCUUUUUCUGUGUGCUUCCUUGCAUGUGACAUCCAAAAUGAACAGUAACUAAGCGAAUGCAUCAUUGGCAGCAACUUUGUCAGUCUUGGGAAAACCAGGAGUUGAAACCCAAGUAAAUGAUCUUAGAAAAGCAUCAGUAAAGUUGAAUAAAUCAUGGAACCUGGAAGGGAUGAGAUUAAUGAUGACCAAGUGAUUCAGAAGAACAACACAGAAAGGUCAAGCCUAGGAGCAGUUUGCUGAAGCUGAGAGGAAAGAAAGUAGCUAGGAGGUAUUUGUAUUGCCAUUUAUUCUAGAGCAACCAUCUCAUUUUGAUUGGUUAGGUGGAUGCUCUAUGUAAUUGCUUACAAUUUAAUAGACUAAUCAAAAUUUUUGUGUACUGUGAACCAUUUAUCUUAUGUAUUUUGAUCAUGAGAAGUCUUACGUAAGUUCAAUUUUCAGACCAUUUUAUUGUUUCUUUAA